AUCCAUUAACAUUUCAAAUGAGCCCAUUUCUCCGUACAGGCGUGUUUACAGAUAUCCAUGAAGAUUUAAGUCACGGAGGAGUGGUUUCAUCUUUGUCGUCUUCACAACGAUUUGUAGAAAAUAUGCCAUACUUCAAGCUGCUGUCGAAUUAUUUAACCACUGAAAUUGGUUCCAUAAAGUCAGGCUCCACAGAUUCUGUACCCGAUUUGUUUGAGACAGAAUGGUUAUCGUGUCAGUUAUGAAUAUCCGCUGCAUCAUCGUCAAUGAUAUCAUCACACAUCAUUACAUGUGCCUGAAUCUGUAUAAACAGUUUACUAAUAAACUUUUUU
rnacentral:lncRNA from 1 species